AACCUCCGCAAUGUGAGAAAUCGCGACGGGGGGAUCCCAAGGGCCAUUCUUAACGGGAUGGCUUUUCUUAAGUGUAAAAAGCUUUUGGAAUAAGAGCUGGGCAAGACCGGUGCCAGCCGCCGCGGUAACACCGGCAGCUCUAGUGGUAGCUGUUUUUAUUGGGCCUAAAGCGUUCGUAGCCGGUUUGAUAAGUCACUGGUGAAAUCCUGUAGCUUAACUGUGGGAAUUGCUGGUGAUACUGUUGAACUUGAGGUCGGGAGAGGUUAGCGGUACUCCCAGGGUAGAGGUGAAAUUCUGUAAUCCUGGGAGGACCACCUGUGGCGAAGGCGGCUAACUGGAACGAACCUGACGGUGAGGGACGAAAGCUAGGGGCGCGAACCGGAUUAGAUACCCGGGUAGUCCUAGCCGUAACGAUGCGGACUUGGUGUUGGGAUGGCUUUGAGCCGCUCCGGUGCCGAAGGGAAGCUGUCAAGUCCGCCGCCUGGGAAGUCGGUCGCAAGACUGAAACUUAAAGGAAUU
rnacentral:rRNA from 1 species